AGAAAUAAUAUUAUAGAUUGAAAAGAAAAUGAGUAAAUAGGCAAUUACCCCCCUGAAAUUGUAAGUUUCGUCAAUUACCCCCCUGAAAUUGCACAACGUUAAUCAAUUUACCCCCUCCGUCAAAUUUUUCUGUUAGUCAACAUGACGUUUUGCAAAUACCCCCCUGAAGUUUUGCAGUUAUGUGCAAAAUGCCCCCUAAACUUGAAAAUUCAUUUUUUUUUUCUUAUCCUAAAAUUCAUUUUUUUUCUUCUUAUCCAAAACAUGCAAAUUUGGACUUAGUAAUUGGCCAAUGAAAAUUGAUAUAUUAUCCAACAACCUGAGUGACUAUAGAAUGGUGAAAGCUGAACAAAAAAGGAUCAAAAGGGUCUUGUGCAAAGCGUUAAAAAUGUAAUCAAAUGUGUUAAUUUAAUAGUUGAAGGUGAACUUAACAAAAGAAUGGUAAAGCGUUCAAAAUCAUGCCAAAAAAACUGAAAUUCAAUCGUUGAAAGUUUAAAGCUAAUGCAAUCGAAGCUGCUCAAAUAAAAUGGUUCAUUAUGAUUCACAUUUAGGGAUUCAGAAACACAUGUAGUCGAUCAUGUAACCGAAUAAAAAAGAUGAGCAAUAGUCACUCCUUUUCUAAACUAAGACAAGACAAUAAUAUAAUAUGUCACCACUUAUAACCAUAUAUGGAGUAAUUGCCUAUUUAAUCCAUAUAUAUCCUAAAAUUUAUAUGGAGUAACGCAGCCAUAUAUUUUGACAUCUUGGUUAUGCCAAUUAUAUGUCAUUUAUGUGUUUCAUCAUGUAUGCCAUGCAUUAGUUUGAUCGUUUCAGGGAACAUAUAUGGUUGUAUACCGACAAAACUUAGCUAAUAUGCUUCACAAUCAGUGACAAUGCAGUCACUUUUAAGGAUAAGAAAAAAAAAAUAUAAAUUUUCAAGUUCAGGGGGCAUUUUGCACAUAAGUGCAAAACUUCAGGGGGGGUAUUUGCAAAAUGUCAUGUUGACUAACAGAAAAAUUUGACGGAGGGAGUAAAUUGAUUAACGUUGUGCAAUUUCAGGGGGGUAAUUGAAGUUUUGUUAAUUUCAGGGGAGUAAUUGACGAAACUUACAAUUUCAGGGGGAUAAUUGCCUAUUUACUCAAAAGAAAAUAUUACAGAAGAUUCCCUCUGUAAUCCUAGAGCAAAAGCUCCUCAGAGAAGAGACAUUUCUCUCUCUCUCUCUCUCUGCCCAAAACCAAUAAGGUUCCUAAUUGAAUAAUUCUGAAUUCUCCCUACUGUUGUGGCCAAAUGGCCUUAUUUAUACAAACAAAGGGCAUAAACUGCCUGUAACUGCUCCUAAUCAAUACAAAUUUGCAUAAACUGCCCAACUGCUCCUAAUCAACACAAAUACUGCAUAUUAUAUAAAAUGCUAACUGCUCCUAAAUAACUAUAUAUUAAAAUAACUGACUAUUUAUUGAAAUAACUGACUGCAUGUUACCCUAUCAAUACCACCAGAUACCUAACAAUAUGCUUCAGACUAGAUAUUGUCAUUAGUUUGGUACAUUAAGCAUAUUAAGAUCUUGCUGUAUUGCUAUUUAGAUGUGUUCAUGAUCCUAAUCAUAUCCAAAUAAAAACCAAUUAAAUGGAUUAGAUUAGCCAAACAAGAUUUUUUCCAAAACUGAAUUAACAAAAACCUGGUUUCGGAUAUGGUUGUAGUUUGUGGCUUCCAACCGGAUAUUUUGCUCACCCCUACUCCUGUUGGCUGAAUAU
rnacentral:lncRNA from 1 species